rnacentral:rRNA from 1 species
GUGCCAGCAGCCGCGGUAAUACGGAGGGUGCAAGCGUUAUCCGGAAUCACUGGGUUUAAAGGGUGCGUAGGCGGUCAGAUAAGUCAGUUGUGAAAUACCCCGGCUUAACCGGAGGAACUGCGAUUGAUACUGUUUGACUUGAAUCAGGUUGAGGUAGGCGGAAUGUGGCAUGUAGCGGUGAAAUGCUUAGAUAUGCCAUAGAACACCGAUUGCGAAGGCAGCUUGCUGGACCUGUAUUGACGCUGAGGCACGAAAGCGUGGGGAGCAAACAGGAUUAGAAACCCUGGUAGUCC